ensembl:lncRNA
GUCUGCCUCUGUUGUGGCUAUUCUUGUUUCCAAUAGUGAAAAAAAUGCCAUUCAGUCUCAAGGAAGUUGUUGAUGACACUGUGCCUGGAAAAGUCCAAACGCAGUUAACUGCAGCGAGCGAUGGUCUUUCGUGGUAUAGAACCAUUCAGUGAAUGCAGUUCAGUAGAGAGCCAAAGCUGAAAGCUUUUGUUUGGCAAGAGAUGGUACCCCCUAUUGCCUUAGCAAUUUCUUCAGCUAAGAGUCGGGGCCUGAACAAAUACUUUAACAGGAUAAUAGAAGUUUACGGAACCCUGUGUAGGUCCUCUCCAUUGGAGGAAUGAUUACUGCCCACUGGAGACAAAUGGAUGUGCAGAGAAGGAUCCUUUCCAUCCAGUAUGUACUAAACCAAGCUCAGCUGUAACUGAAGACUUCGCUUCUUUCAGCACUUGUAUCAGAAUGUAAGUUUUCAAUUUCGUCAAAGCCAACAUCUGCAGAGAAGUAGGGCUCACUGCCUGACAUAUCAGCAGGGAACUCUGAAGUUCUGAGAACAAAAGGCAAAGGUGAACAGGAAGAAAUGAGGUCCAGAGCUCUGCAGCCUGACAAGCAAGCCUGCUACAGCUAGGACUGGGGUUGUCCUAUUUUUUCAAGUAGUGUGGUUAAGACAUUUUGAAAGCUGAUGUUUUCAUCUACUCACUGACAUAAGAAGAUAAUCUGUUCCUGCAUAUUAAUUACUCUGUUGUAAUGAAUUCCUCCAUCAUCACAAACUUGACAUGAAGCUUUGUGUCCCUGCAGGUUAAUCCAAAAACAGCAAAAUAUCUCAACAUUUUUGUGUUAGCCAUAGAAGUAAAGUUCAGUUAGCCAAACCUGAGCAUGCAUAUUUCUGUAUUUUGAAAAAUCAAUAAUUUUUAACAGCUAACAGCUCUUCAAGCAGCAUUCAAACAGACCACACUUAUUAGGUGAUCUCCAGCUUGCAGUUCCAGGUCCAGUACUCUCUUAAAUGUGAAUUAAACCCUCAAGGAUAUUACCAGCACAUACCAAUCUCUUAGAAGGGAAUGCUUCUUUUUUUUGUUUGUUUGUUUUCUCUACAGUCAUGCUUGCAAACUCUGACUAAAAGUUUUUCAAAACAGACAGGUGCUGUGGAAUACUUCAUUUGAGAGACUUUAGGAAAGCAUGAUUUUAAAAGAGAGGAGCAUCACUACAUUCCAAGAGUCAAAGAAUGUCAUCUGAGAUAAAAUAAUAAUAAUAAUAAUAAUGUGAUUAAGCUGAACAUAGAUCUGUAUGGUUCACAUGGUUCUCUUAAAAAAGUAACAGAUGGAUUGGUCCAGAUACUGAUGUGGAAGAAUUAAAAAGAGGAAUCAGAGGUAUCUGCUUUGCAAAGUCUGAAUAGUUGGUUGCUUUUGUUUGUCAAAUUUGAAUGCUAACCUGAGAAUUCUUCUCAAGUUCUGAUAAGAAAUAUUAACAAAGUCUUUGCCCAUGAAGCUUUUAGUGUUGUCUUUUGGAUCAAUUAGCCAGCGGCUAUACUCGCUAGGCCAUUCCUCUACGCUGCCCUCCAACCCCAUUCUGAGUCCUUGACAUUUGCUUUCUGUUCAAAUGGCUUUUA